GUACAUCCAGAGAACUUAGCAGAGAUGCUUUGGUGCCUUCGGGAACUCUGAGACAGGUGCUGCAUGGCUGUCGUCAGCUCGUGUGUGAAAUGUUGGGUUAAGUCCCGCAACGAGCGCAACCCUUAUCCUUUGUUGCCAGCGGUUCGGCCGGGAACUCAAAGGAGACUGCCGGUGAUAAACCGGAGGAAGGUGGGGAUGACGUCAAGUCAUCAUGGCCCUUACGGCCAGGGCUACACACGUGCUACAAUGGCGCAUACAAAGAGAAGCGACCUCGCGAGAGCAAGCGGACCUCAUAAAGUGCGUCGUAGUCCGGAUUGGAGUCUGCAACUCGACUCCAUGAAGCCGGAAUCGCUAGUAAUCGUAGAUCAGAAUGCUACGGUGAAUACGUUCCCGGGCCUUGUACACACCGCCCGUCACACCAUGGGAGUGGGUUGCAAAAGAAGUAGGUAGCUUAACCUUCGGGAGGGCGCUUACCACUUUGUGAUUCAUGACUGGGGUGAAGUCGUAACAAGGUAGGCGUAGCGAG
rnacentral:rRNA from 1 species